CCGGCGGGGCGGGGCCAGGCGGCGGCUGCCGCGGCGGGUGGGGCCGGGGCGGGGCGGCGGCGGAAGAUGGCGGGAUGCGGGACCGGGCUGUGCUGCUGCUGCUGCCCGCGCUGCUGCGGCGAGCGGGAGAGCCGCACCCCCGAGGAGCUGACAAUCCUAGGAGAAACUCAUGAAGAGGAGGAUGAGAUUCUUCCACGCAAAGACUAUGAGAGCUUGGAUUAUGAUCGCUGUAUCAAUGACCCCUACUUGGAAGUUUUGGAGAGCAUGGAUAACAAGAAAGCGCAGAGGUAUGAAGCGGUGAAGUGGGUGAUGGUUUUUGCUAUUGGAGUCUGCACAGGCCUGGUGGGCCUCUUUGUGGAUUUCUUCGUACGGCUCUUUACCCAGCUCAAGUUCCAGGUUGUACAAAGCUCGGUGGAAGAAUGCACUGAGAAGGGCUGUCUUGCCUUGUCCUUGCUGGAGCUGCUGGGGUUCAACUUGACCUUCGUUUUUCUUGCCAGUCUUCUGGUCCUGAUCCAACCUGUAGCAGCUGGAUCGGGAAUUCCUGAAAUUAAGUGCUACCUCAACGGGGUAAAGGUUCCAGGGGUGGUGCGUCUCCGGACGGUGGUGUGCAAAGCCAUGGGAGUGCUCUUUAGUGUGGCAGGAGGUCUUUUUGUCGGGAAGGAGGGUCCAAUGAUUCACAGUGGUGCUGUUGUGGGUGCAGGUUUGCCACAGUUUCAGAGCAUCUCUUUGAGGAAGAUCCAGUUCAACUUUCCCUAUUUCCGCAGUGACAGGGAUAAAAGGGAUUUUGUGUCCGCUGGAGCUGCUGCAGGGGUUGCGGCUGCCUUUGGAGCCCCAAUUGGGGGCACUCUUUUCAGCCUGGAAGAAGGUUCCUCCUUCUGGAACCAGGGACUUACAUGGAAAGUGCUUUUCUGUUCCAUGGCUGCCACCUUCACCCUGAAUUUUUUCCGCUCUGGGAUUCAGUUUGGAAGUUGGGGGUCUUUCCAGCUCCCAGGGCUGCUGAACUUUGGGGAGUUCAAGUGCUCAGAGUCUGAUAAGAAAUGCCACCUCUGGACGGCCGUGGACUUGGGCUUCUUCGUUCUUAUGGGGAUUGUAGGAGGCCUUCUCGGAGCCACCUUCAACUGCCUGAACAAGAGACUUGCGAAGUAUCGCAUGCGGAACGUGCAUCCCAAGCCAAAGCUGGUCAGAGUCUUGGAGAGCCUGCUGGUGUCCUUGACUACCACGCUCGUGGUCUUUGUAGCCUCCAUGGUUCUGGGGGAAUGCCGGCAGAUGUCUUCCAGCAGUCAUAGUGGCAAUGACACUCUGAACCUGCAGGGCAUGUCAGAGGAUGUGAAUUCAAGCAUCAAAACUUUUUUUUGCCCAAAUGAAACUUACAAUGACAUGGCCACACUCUUCUUCAACCCUCAGGAGUCAGCCAUCUUGCAGCUCUUCCACCAGGACGGUACUUUCAGCCCAGUCACACUGUCCUUGUUCUUCCUUCUCUAUUUCUUACUCUCCUGCUGGACAUACGGGAUCUCUGUGCCCAGUGGUCUUUUUGUGCCAUCACUACUUUGUGGGGCUGCCUUCGGACGUCUGGUCGCCAACCUCCUCAAAAGCUACAUCGGCCUGGAUCACAUCUACUCAGGAACCUUUGCACUGAUUGGGGCGGCGGCGUUCCUGGGAGGAGUGGUCCGCAUGACGAUUAGCCUGACUGUCAUCCUAAUUGAAUCGACCAACGAGAUCACCUACGGCCUCCCAAUAAUGAUCACUCUCAUGGUAGCCAAAUGGACAGGAGACUUUUUCAACAAAGGCAUCUAUGACAUCCAUGUGAACUUGCGAGGAGUGCCUCUUCUGGAGUGGGAAACAGAGGUGGAAAUGGAUAAACUACGAGCCAGUGACAUCAUGGAACCCAACCUGACAUAUGUCUACCCGCACACCAGGAUCCAGUCUCUCGUUAGCAUCCUGCGCACGACUGUCCAUCAUGCCUUCCCUGUGGUGACUGAGAACCGGGGCAAUGAGAGGGAGUUCAUGAAGGGAAAUCAGCUGAUAAGUAACAACAUCAAAUUCAAGAAAUCAAGCAUCCUCACCCGAGCCGGAGAGCAGCGCAAGCGCAGUCAGUCCAUGAAAUCCUACCCGUCAAGUGAAUUGCGUAACAUGUGUGAUGAGCACAUAGCAACGGAGGAGCCACCAGAGAAGGAGGAUCUGCUGCAGCAGAUGCUAGAGAGAAGAUACACUCCCUACCCCAACCUGUACCCUGACCAGUCUCCCAGUGAAGAGUGGACCAUGGAGGAACGCUUCAGACCUUUGACCUUCCAUGGCUUGAUCUUGCGCUCACAGCUGGUCACCCUCCUCGUCAGGGGUGUUUGUUACUCUGAGAGCCAGUCGAGUGCGAGUCAGCCUCGUCUGUCCCAUGCAGAGAUGUCAGAGGAUUACCCCCGCUAUCCAGAUAUCCAUGACCUGGACCUCACGUUGUUGAACCCUCGCAUGAUAGUGGAUGUCACUCCAUACAUGAACCCAUCACCCUUUGCUGUCUCUCCAAACACUCAUGUGUCACAAGUCUUCAACCUGUUUAGGACAAUGGGGCUCCGACAUUUACCGGUUGUGAAUGCAGUUGGAGAGGAGCAUCUGUUGUGUGGGCAAGAAAAUGGGAGGAGUACAACUGUGCAGCCCAUCUGUCCACUCCGGGUGAAAGGCUGGAAGUGAACAGCUGUGCCUUCAUUUGUGACCGCCAGUGCGGACACGAGUGUGAGCAGAUCUUCCUGAUUGCCACGGAGCUGCUUCCAGAGCCCAGCUCUCAUCAGCAUCGGGAUGGCACAGGUGGGAUCUUGGCAAACCAGCCUUCCUGCAGAAUUCCUUUGGCUCAGGAUCUUUGCCAAGUAGCCAUUCAGGCCAAGUUCGACUCCACUGUUCUGCUCAGAGUUUCUUUGGAUUGGCACAAGCAUCCCUGGGGAGCUGGUGAAAACCUCUCUGACCUGGCUUCUGUGACAAGAUGGAAUGUGUACAGCUGACGUGGAGAAAGGAGUGAAAGCGGGUAAAGCAGGGAUGUGGCAUUCACAGGUUUUAGGUGUGAAUCUGAUGACAGUGAGUUCUGAGGAGGGUAGAAGUGGUAAACUGUGUUUGCAAUAGGAGGGUAACAGUUACUUUAAGGCAUCAUUUACUUAAAGCUGCAUAUUUAUACAAGUUAUACACAAACACACAGACCACUUGCCUCUGGCUUUCUCUUACCAUAGUAAGCAGUUAGCAACCCAGUCCACUCAGUGACCCAAUUCUGUCCAACUUGACACCAAAACAACCCCUGGAGAGGCCCUUUUUGCUUCUUCUUCUGUAUCUGCGGGGUAAACUAAGGAGGUCGCUCAAGAACCGCUGGACAGCACCAUCACCCAUGGGCGUGCUGUCAGGCUGGUCCCUGGUGUUUUGGGUCCACUGGAAUUCAGCAUCUUGCUGAUCAAAGGCAUCUGUUGGGAUCGUGUCGUCUUGCUCAUGGUCCCUCUCUUCUGGGAGCAGGGGAUGCUCCAAGUCCUCAUCUAACAGUUUGGACAGACUCUGAAAAAAGGGAAAGGUAGAUGGUGGAGGGGGAGGAGAAGAGAAAAAAGAGGGGUUCUGGGAACUCUGUCAUUAUUUUCAUAUAAGCCAUAGUCAGUGCUGAGUUUGGAGAAACUGAUUUUGAACAUUUAUCAAAAGAUUGAAAGUACUGAUGUGAUUUCUGAAGCUGCUGAUGGUUAUCUUUAGUUUCUUCUGGCUCACAGAGCUGCUCUGAGCUAACACUGUAUGCUCUCCCAAAAUGCUCUAAGGCUCCAUUCUGUUACUGUAUUCUAUAGUUUUGAGCUGACAAACUGCCAGUUAAGUCUUUCCUAGAGCUGGGUAUCUGGGCUAUGGGAUAAAUUGUGAAAGACGAUGAAAGAGGCUUGGUCAAGAGUGAUUAAGGAACAAGAGAAGAUGAUUGAUACCUUGGAAUAAUAAGAGAAGCAAUGCAAUGACAGGAGAUGUGCUGCAAUUGGUACUAGAAGAAUUAUGUAUUUCUUUACAGACUGGGAGGUUACUUCAUAUUUGGGAAUAGCAGAUCCCUAGUCAGGCAGCUGAAAUAUAUUUUCCAAAUGACUUGGAAUUCCUGCACACACAAAUACACACACACAUAUACACACACAAACUUUCUCUUUUUCUCACAUUCUGUCUCUGGGGCUCACAAGCAGGGACUGCACCACUGAUCUGAGGAGGAGGUCAUGCAGUUACAAACCAUUCAUUCCUUCUUCAACUUAAAACUAGGGUGACUGCUCCAGGCCUCUAGGCAGGAGCCCUUCCAGAAAAAUUCCUUUUAUUCCAAAAGCUUGUUGCUUGACUCAGUCACAGGAUGACCUUAAAUCUGUAAUCCACAAAUUGACCCCACAGGAAAAAGCAUUUUCCGUUCAAUUGCUUCAGGUGAUCAGAAAUUUAAAUCCAGCAAUCGAUUACUUGAAUUUCCCUCCAUUUAAUAACUCUGUGUCACCCCACCUCAGGGUUCCUGCUGUCCUUGUUUCUUUGAACGUCACCUACUGGGGUUGGAAGAAACAGAGCUAAUCUGAACUAAGCCCUAAAGAAGCAUCAGCUUCUUUCAGUUCUAUUGAGCAGCCAAUCACUUACCUGUAAGCUGGAGAUGGGCCUGGCCCUCACCUGGUUUUGGCUGGCAAUAAGCAGCAGAAGGAACCCAGGGCAAAAAAGAAGUUUCAGGUUCAUCUUCAUGUUUUGGUGUCUCUGAUUCCUGCUCCCCUUGAGUCUCUCCUGUUCAGUGCUGCUCUGUGUCUCCAGCUACCAGCCUUUAUAUCUUCCUCCAACCCCUCCCAAGUCUACCUUUUGAGUUCCUGCCCGUGCAAGGAUUGGUUUGAGGUUCUGGUCUGUUUUCAUUCUCAGAGGAGGAGGAGGAGGGAGGAAAUAGUUCUGUUUUCUUGUGGUGAAUAAAAGGAGCAUUUUACACUUAGGCAAUGCAGCAUCACUCUGUGAAUCUGAAGGUCUCUGCUGCCUUGGUGCCAUUUAAGUAUGACCAUUUGUUUAGCUCAGUGUUCCUUGAGUUGGCUGCUAUACCUUUGCUUUCUACCCAGAGAAAAAUAACUGUGAGAGAAGUAUGAAGUGAGACAGAAAGCAAAUUGUAUCUGCUAUGCAUUCACCUGGCUCCUUUGUCACUAUGAAGUACCAAAUCAGGGGGACGAGUGUUUCACAAAGCACACUUGGCAAGAACUGAGUCUUAUUACCUAACAUAAUAAUAUGGCAUUAGUACCCUAUGAGACAAAAUAAUGUGUUUUGUAGAAGGGAAAUCCAAACCCUAAAAAUGAAAGAAGUGAUUUACAUUGGUUACUGGCCUGAGUGACAGACAGUGUGGCUGAAAUCAAGCUGACGUGCGAAGAAAGAUUCUGCAUGACUCAAGCUGAGGAAGAAGUUCCUCUUCUCCCGUGGAUCUAACUUAAAACAUUUAUUCAUGCCCAUUUCUGAAGUGAUUGUAGUGUUCUUUUAUAUGGCAAAUCCUCUCUAUAGUAUGGGAGUAUCAAGAAGGAGGCAGGUUGGCACGUAUUGCUCAUCUCCAACAGUCAAUUGUUUCCUAGUUUAUGGAGAUAUUUCUCCUGUACCAGAAGAGAACUUAUUUCUUAUGAAAAGAGUAGGAUUAGGGCAUCCUUUUCCUAUGGGGAAAUAUCUGCCUCAUCUCUACAGGCUCUUGUGAGGAAGCUGAGCUCUGAAGCUGACAGCGUGUGGUGUGCUUAGGUAGAUAUCGUUAGAGCACAGACGCAGUAACUCGUUAUUCUCCUCCUUCCUCGCUCAGUGACCCUUGUCAGCCUCCCUCUCCCUCCCAGUCGCUCAGGCCAGCGUGUCCUGGCUCAGCGCAGCUGGCUGAAAGGGCAGUGACGUGUUUGCAGCGCUUCCGUCACAGUGGGAACAUCAGCUCCGUGAUGGCAGCUGACACCAGGGGCCCAUCAUUCUUUGGGGUCCCAAGAAUGUGUUUUGCCUUUGCCUGGUCUGUUCUGCUCUCGCUAAUGCUCGCUCAUCUCUUUGAUGGGGGUGAAGAGGGGAUAUUUUCUCUGUAGCCCUUUGGCACAAGAAAGGGUCUAGGCUGUCCAAGGACAAGGAGGGCGGUGGGCUGGCAUUUCAUAGCAGAUCAUAGGUGGUUCUGGAGCGUUGGGUUUUGAUGGCAAAAUUUUAAUAUUGUGUUUGUCGGGCACAUUUAUCACAUUCUGCUGACACUAAUGAAGGCCGGCAGGGAAGCAGCAGUGAGGGAGGGGAUGAAAUAGCAGGAGAUUGUGCUCAGUGCGAGUCAGAUGACUGUUCUGUAAUGCUGCUUGAGGAGCUGGGCUCAAUUCUGAUCUCUGCUGCAGCAGGGGUGGAAACGAAGAAGCCACGUGGGACUUGUGUAUCUGACCCGUAGCUGCCCAGACCAACCUGACUUCUCUCAUUAUCCCCAGUGCUGGCACUUGGAUGGCACUGGGGAGAGAAGCACAACAUCCACUGAUUCACUGGUGGGUGUUUCUGGCCCCCUUUCAACCACUUGUUUCCCAGAAGAGCUUUUUCUUCAUGCAUGAGGACGUUUUCAGGUUCAGUAGUCCUGCUGUGGGGUUUGAUACUAAAGAUCCCCGACUUUGCUCUGUUCGUCUUGCUGAUGGUUAGAACAAUUUUGCUGUGAAUUCUUUUGACAUCUAGAGGCAAUCUGCUUUUCCCAAGGUACUUUAAACACACAGAGCCCCACUGCCUGUGGUUUAGCACUCUUCAACAAAUGGUGUAAAGCAGAUGAAAUGUGAAAACUGCUGGAGAACUGGUAUGAAAAUACAGAUGUUUUUUACAGGCUAUAGUACUGGAGAGGAUUCUCAGAUUAAUCAUGGCAUGAUGAUGGGAAGACAGGAGGGAGUUGGUAUUACACAAAUGUGAGAAGCAAGGAGGGAAUAACAGCUAGACAAACAUUGUAUGAUCAGCUGAAACAAAAUUGAGGAAUUUUGGAAACCCCAGUAGAAUGGAUCCUGAAACAAAUGGGAAACAAGCUGAGGUGUUCAGAGCAAUGGCACAAGACUUGUGGCCAGUGCCUGGUGAGCGGCAGAGGCUUAAAGAAAGACUCAUGUUCCAUGAAUCCUCACUUGAGCUAUGUUUUUGACUAAGCUUCACCUCUAGCAAGAUGAACAGCAUCUUGCUGCCCAGUUGUUUUGGAAAGGCAGGAAUGUUGUCAGUAACCACACUGCAACUGAAAACAUGGAUUAGCUGUGCAGCAUGGAGUUUACAUAUCCCAAAUUGUUUUGAGCUGAGAUUUCCCCAGCAAAACAAGGUGGUUACUCCUGUGAGAUCUCACCUCUCCUCUUCCCUUUGGUUUAGCUGCCUUUGUGUUAGUGAGGUGUGUGGUGACCUCUCCUGGUGAGUAGAGAAUAUGCCUUCAAGUUCGAUAGAACAAGUUCUGGCUAAAAAAACCCAAACCGGACACUGUGGGAGGUUUUGAUAAAAUGACGGCUUCAAUCUUUUAUUCAAGAACCUUGUACGUGCAGUAUAAGAAGGGGCUGCAGGCUUUAGGCUCUAGUAGCUGUGUUGGAACAUGUGAGUGGUUAUGUCUUGGGAAGGCACAUGGCACGCGUGUGAUAUAUGAAUGUGUGUGCGUGGUAUGUUGGUGUGUACAGCAAAGCGUCAGAUGUUCCGGUGGUUGGCUGACUUUAGAUCCACCACUAGAUGUGUUGAUCUGGACUCUUGUAAUGGAUUUUGUAGAAUGUAAGUUUCUAUAAGAUGAGAGGGGAGCGGGGAGCACAUUUCUUAAGCAUUUUGUCUGGAGUAACACUUGCCAGGUUUCUCUUUGCAACGUGGUGCAUCCUGGAAUAGCUCGGAGUGGUGUCAACAGUGCCCAUUGAUCUGGAAAGUUUGCUAGCCAAGAAACUAAAUAAAGGGCCAAGUGGUCACACCAUCCCAUUGUGCUAUUUAUUGCUGCAUGCCAUUUGUCAGCGUAGAGCGUGCUGAAGGAGAAGGCAUUUCUAGAAAUGGCUAAACAGCUACAGGAAUGAAAUGGCAUCGUUCCUGGAAGUUGCUCUGGUUGUUUACUUCCCCUCUCCCUUCCCUAACAAACUGCUGAUGAACCUAAGAAUAACUCGACUAACUAAAAAUGUAGCCAUUACAUAAAGCCUGUCCUCCACUGAACACUCUGUAGAUGUGAGAGAGUGGCGCUGUGCAGAACCUCAGUUUUGUGUUCCCUGAACAGGAUCCCAGUUGUCUCUUAGUUUUGACACAUCUCAGUCCACAUCUCUCUGUGGACUUUCCUUGACUGCACAGUUGUGUAGGUAGGUUCAUGCUUUUUCAGAACAGAGAGGUAAACCGUCUCGAUUUUUGUUGGGCAGAGAAUUCAUGUGUGUGUUAUUCUUCCUGCUUACAUUUACAGUGCUCUUCAUCAAUGCUUCUCAUCAGUUCAGGCACAACUGGAUGCUUGGAUGUGCCCACACGUGCUCACUAGGAUUAGAAGGCAAAUCCUUCAUGUCACAGUGUGGCAAGCAGUUGGAGACUAUCCUGGAAGUCCGCAGUGAAUGCACAUCAGGCUACGUGUGAGCAAGAGAGUCCUUCCUGCCUCGGGUGGCUGAGCUGCAGUGGGAGGAAUGCAGCCUCAUCCAGAGCUUAGCUAAGCUGGUCUUUCUUAGUCAUUCAGUGUAGCUAUGGAUGACUCUUAUCACCCACUGUUCUUGAUUUGACAACCCUUCUUUAUUUUCCCAGAAAAUACUCACUGUGUUCGCCAAGCUUCUGGAAAUAGCUCCCUCCUUUUGUGGUGGAGAAUGGCAUGGCCGUGGGCCAGAGGGGCAGGAUAUUUUAGCUGUUGCUUGUCAGCACAGCGAGAUGGGCGAGUAGCAUCUCAAAAACUAACACUUCUAAAGCUAUGAUAAGGUGCUCAGGCUACAGGGCUGGAGCCUGUGUUCGUGCUUGAGAUAAACUCCACUGUCAGUGCUGCAUUCACACCUCUCCUGUCACAUUAGGCACCUCAUGGUCCUGCCUUUCCCAUUAGACACUUGCUGCAAAGCCUCAGCAUGGGGGUAUGAGGCCCUGUGCCUUCAUCUGCAGAGUCCCCAGGGACUGCAUUUCUCCCUGUGCCCUUGUGGUGACAUUGAGGUGGCUGGAGGAAAUGUUGUGGGUUGGAAUAGAUUUGUCACUGCGGGUUGUCAUCCUGAACUUUGUUUGGACUUGGGUGCUUCCCCUUGGGAUGCGCUAUCUGGACGUUGCCCUCUGGGCAAAAGAGAAACGGGAGUAGCUGGAUGUCAGGGCUUGUGCUGGGAUUGCAAACACCAAAUGUGCUGUCUGAAAGCCGGGUGGGAAAGCCGUGCAAUAGUAAGCAGUAAUGGACAGGUAGGGUAAGAAUACAGCUACACAACCUGUCCGAGUUGGACAUGUUACUAGUCCUUUUUACAGGAAAUAGUGCUUCAGUGUUUUCUAAAAUGCAGGAGAACCCUCCAAAGGGUCUUCAUUUGGGCACCCAAACCCAUAUUUGAAAAAAACAACAUUUUGUGAGGAGGCAUCUAUGCUGUAAACCCUUAACUGUGUUUAGUUAAAACCAGCGCGCUAGCAGGGCUCCUCUUCGCAUAGCUGAGAGAUGCCACCAAACUUUGGAAGCAGAGAAUGCGUUUAAUGUCCCUUGCCCACUGGAAAUUCUUCACAUAACUUCUGCAUUGUUUGACCAAGAGGAUUUGUUUGACCAUGUCACCUCCCCGAGGAUAACAGCACAUUUUUUGCCUGGUGUUGAAGUGUGAAGACCGUUGUGAGCCAUGACAUCAUAUCUCAGACCAGAGCAGAUCAGGAAAUGACCAAGAAGGCCUAAAAUAUUGGCCAUGGGAAGAGUGAAUGGAGGAGAGAAGGGAUGUGAUACAGCAACAUUCUUUGGCCUGGAUAGGUCAGAUGCACCUGACAUGUGUAAUAGGACCAGAACAUCUUUAGCACUUUAGCACAUGAUGAUACUUUAGUGCAGAGAGGUGGCUUAUGAGAGGCAGAGGUGAACUAGGGUGCAAAUCCACCAAAUGACAUGCUAAUAAAUCACAGCUGCCCUUUGACAAUAAGGAGUAAAGGGGAUAUGGGCCUGAACAGCUAAACGGCUCCAAAUCUGACCUUUCUUUAAUUCUGGAAGGUUUAAAAUGAAUUCUGAGUCCUAAUCUCUAACCACAGCUAGAACAAUAACUACCUCCGGACACAUCAAAACUACCAGUGAGGAAAGACACAUACAUGUAUUAAUGGUUGUGGCUAUUUUGGGAGGGUGGAAGGCAAGGAAGGUGGUAAUAGGAGAAAACCAGCAAACUACAUUUUCUAGAAAAUUGAUGGUUUGGUUUUAUUUGUUUGUUUGUUUCAAAAAUAAACCAUUUUAAGUAUUGAGUCAUGAACUGAAUAGUUUCAACUGGUUUUGAACUGAUGUAAACCAGAAGGGGAUUAGUCAGUUAAAAAAACAAAAAGAAGAAGGGGAGGUUUGUAAGGUGAAGCCUCUCUGGGGUCGUGCUCAGUGGGUUACAAAGCUGAGGGCUUGUUUUGGUCCAAGGUUCCGACAUCCGUGGGGCUUAUCACUGAAGUCAGAGCCAAGACAAACCUUCGGGCUGGGUCAUGUCGAUCUCAUUUUGCCCACAGCACAGGAGCCCUUCAUUAAAGUCCAAACAGACCUGACUCGCAGACACAUCUCAUGCUGUCUCACUGCUGGUCUUGUAAAUAAUCUGCUCUCCAAAUUGCUAGAGCGCAUUUCUCUCUCUGUGUUGUUCUCUCUCCUUGUUUCCUUGUGUCAAGCAUUGAGAGCAGGAUGAUUUGGCUAAGGCUUGGCCUCUUUUCAGUCUUUUAUUCUGUAAUUAUGUCAGACAUAGGAUUGACCAGUGAUUAAAGUAUUGCUUUGCAAAUUGAAAAUGUGCAUCACUUUUACAGUCUUGCCUGCAGUCUGAGCAACUGCUUGUCUCUGUAUUCACCUCCUGCACAACGUGUGUCUGGUGCUCCCCUGUCUCACAUGGAUGUUAUUAAACCAGGUUGUUGUCUGUGCAGCUUUGUAAUCGUAGAGGCGAGAAUGAAUGAGAGCCUUUGCAGAUACCCGGUAAUUCACCAAUGACCAGAAAGCUUCUACUGGAGGAGAGGUAUUUAAAACCUCUGUACCUCCUACCUGUCACACCAUGUGGCUUUCCAGAGCUACUUUGUGAACAUCCCUAAUCAUUAUACGACUGUAUUUAAACCUCAAAACAAAUCUCUGCUUAUACAGGUCCAAGAGCUUGAUUUGAUACCCCUUAACUUAGCUUCAAAGCGAGUACCUUCAUUGAGACAACAAAAUGUCCCGUCCCUCCCGGCUGAGCUCCUGGGCCCAGCGCCCGCUGAUUUGUUCCCUAACGAUCCUGCCAGGUCGAGGCCGCUGAGCACGAGUGCUGCUGAGCCACGUGGGGAAGGCAGAACGUUCAGAAAGCAGCGAUUUCUGGAGCAGCAAGAGGAAGGGGCAUGACAGGAAGAGAGGACCGAUACUUCGCUGAAGAGCCCAUCACAAAUAGUGCAAGAAUAACAGUUCUCUGUCGCAGCUACAGAUUCCCUUAUCGGGGAGCGUUAAGCGGUGGAGCCUGUCGACACUUCUUCCUCGCGCCCUGCCCUGCACUCAGCCGCCUGCAGAUACAGAGUGGCUUGAACAAGUUCCAGUGCUCGCUGCGGAGCUUCCCAGGACCCCGCAGCCGGGUGACAUCACUGCCAGCAGCCGCACCGGCGCUUCCUGUGUCACAUUCCCCACUGAAGAGCCUCUUGCCAAAUCCUUGUCGUUCUACACGGUCUUUUUAGGAACAAAUGGUCUAAUUUUAGCCUGAGUGCCACGAACACCUCCCUGAAAUAGACUUUGACACUCUCCUGCCUUGUGCAUGUUCUUGAGAGCUUAAAAACAAAAUCUCUAGUCUUUAGGGUCCAUAGCUAAGGCCUCUGUCAGCCUAAAUUUGGGCAGUAAGAAAUCUUGAGAAGUGUCAUGGGGAAACUGUUGUCACUGCUAGACCCAUGCUGAGCUGAGCAAGGACAGGAAUGUUCCAGAGAGGCAGAAACUCAGGUGAUGGCAUGUUACAAAGUUGUAUGAAUCUGGUCCAAUCUGGAUGAGAUGUUCUGUAAUUCAAGGACUUUGCAAUAGAAAUAAUUUGUUGUUUUCUGGACUGGCUGCAGCCAGAUAUGAUGUUUAGAAGUGUGGUGAGUGGACUCACAGAGUGUCUUCUGUGGUUUGUCUAGGACAAUUGCUCUAAUCACCAUCCUCUCUUUUUGGGGCCUAACGGGAUGAGCACUGGCUUAGGAGUCAAUAAACUGUGGUUGUAUCCCAUAGCAAAGUCAGUUCGCAUCUGCUGUGCUGUCCUUGACGGGCAUGUGCAGCAGUGACCUGCUUUGAGAACGUAAGAACAAUUAGGAAUUACUGUGAGCUGAGGACAAGGAGCACAAACUCCACAAAAUCACUGGGCUUUUAUGCUCCUGCCUUUUGCUGUUUCCAUGAGCUCAAAUACGCAAGCUCUUGUACUGAAGGAUCAAUGCAAGCUUAAACUGCUGUUUUUAAUUAGCAUAGAGUAAAAAGCCACAUCUUUAAAUAACUCUAAAUAGGAAAGGAAAAAAUGUUUUCAGGCAGCUGUUGUCUUUAUGUUGCUCUCUUGUGAUUGACACACAUCCCUUUUGUUCCUUUAUACCUACUAAUUAAGCAGCUCCUUGUAUCUGCAGGUAAGUUGAUCAGCUAAUGGACUCCCUGCAGUCUCUAGUGCACCAUGUCCUGAAGGAUAAAUAGGAAAAGGCAAAAAGCCCUUGGACAUCCAACUGGAUCCUGGGCAGAUUUGUCCAACGGGCCUUUUCUGACCAGGACUGAAAGCAGGAACAUGAGACAAAGACCAAUAGCCCUGAGGGCUGCCAGGGUCACUGCAGGGCCUGGUCUCCAGUGGGUGCAGGACUGUUUGCUGGGGCAGCUUCCCAGCUUGCCAUCAUUCAGCAGAGGACUAAAAAUACUGUUGGCUCACAUAGGGUGAGUGCAAAGUGGCUGGUGUUACUGAAUACUCUAAAAACCAAACCCCCAGCACCUGGCUCCAGCUGGGCUUUAAUGGAUGAGAACAAAGCAGGACUUUGUGUGCUGAGCAUCCCAGCAGGAGCUGGGAGCACACCAGCACGUUAAUGGAAGGACAGAAGGGACUUGGGGGACAGGGCUUCUCCGUUCUGGGUGAGCAGCUGAAUUACCCCAACUGCUGCACAGGCUGGGGUAGCUUUCACUCUCUUUCUCUAGCUGUAUCAUCCAGGACCUUUGAAAUGUCAUUGGCAAAAACUUUGUCAAACUGAUUAAUUUAAAUUAACUAUUUUUGUUUCCAUCUUCCCACCUCCCCUCUCAUUUUGACAUGUGUCUUUUAAGAACAACCUUCUUAACACCCUGAAAAGCAGUGCAGAGCCCACAGAUUAGGUCAUUUAUUGAACAAGAUGUUAGCACAGUAAAGUGAGCAGCCUUGUUUAUUUUUUCUUCUUUGGCUUCCAUUUCUGCAUCUGGGCCAUAGGGAUCAUCCCAGCUACUCCAGGAUAUGUGCUGUUUUCUAUUUCAUAUUCCUAAUCUGCCUCCCUUUUUACCUGCUUUCUGGUUUCAAGGGCAUGUUACCAUUUAAUGCCUUGUCUUAAAAGACUUGUUUUGCUCUUCUAACUUCUGUCCUUCUCCACCUCGAGAGGAAAAUGUUGUGGCAGCUCAAUGACAUUCCUUUCUUCUCCUUUCACUGCCUGUGACAAAGUGUGUGUGGGACUGGAGUCCAGUCUUCUCUUGUGAAUGUGCCGUCUAUCAGGCAGGUCUGUAAUGACACCUGGCGUUCAGUGUAGGAAAAUGCUGAUUAUUGUGCUGUCCUGCUCUGGCCUUGUGAGAAUUCAGGUGAGAACAGGCUGGCUGAAAGACACCCAGAUUCUUGUUUCUAGAUCUGCAGAGACAGCUUAUUAUCCAGACUCUAGACCCCUGUAACUCAGCACUAUCACUGGUGCAGGAUGGCUACAAUAAUCCAUAUGAUCUUUAUGGAAAUGAGGGGUAACCUUUGAGCUUUACUCAGGGAAGGCAAUGGAGAAACUAACUUUGUACAUCAAACUCAAAAAGGUCUCUACAGGAUUUGUCUUGUUCAAGGUCUGUUUCUGUGCCUUUGACCAGGUUGAAACCACUACCCCAUCAUAGAGUAAACUUGAGACUUCGUGUUAGUCUGAUCCAGACCCAGGUUUUCAGUCCAGAUGUUUCAUCUUACCAAAGGUGAGUCUCUGAGUUAGACCAGUCAACCUGUCCAGCCUCAGCCUUCACCUACUCCAAGCCUUGCUGCAUGUUAGGCAUAGACAACCCAAAAAUCUUUGGAAAUGAGCCACCAUAUCAAAGCAUCAGCCAUAUGCAUAGAAAGCAGCUCAUCACUUCCUCCUUCCUCUUUGGAGAGGGAUUGUUCAGAGUUGAACCAAAGCAUUUUUUGUUAAUAAACACUAAUUGCCGUCUAUCAUCAAGCACACAGGGCCAUUUUCUACUAUUUUCUAAAUUAAAAAUCUGCACUGAAGCCUCUGAAGAGAUGAAGAUCAGAACAGGCUCAAUUUUCCAUGCAAAUAACUUGCCUCUGAUCUUGACCCAGGAUUUUCAUAACAAUUAGAGGCAGUGUGGGGCUCGGGUGGCCCUGAGCUGCCCCGCAGUCCCCAGCUGUCCCUCUCCUCUCCCCGGCUCUGUUCCUUUCAUGCCAGCUUAUGAGGGGAUACGUGCACCUGAGGCAUUUUCCUUCACUGACUUGAAAGUCGUGGCUUUUCAACAACACUUAUCUCUGUUCCCUCUUUCCUGUUUUGUUUUUUUGGUGUUGUUUGGUUGGUUGUUUUCCCCAUUUGAUCCCAUAUGCUGAGCACUGACAGGAACCAGAUGAAAGGAUUGCAGCCUUUCAGUAUCCAUCCUGGGCAUCACCCUAGAUUUAUGUAGAUAUAUAGAUUUAUAUGUAUGUGUUUGUCUACAUGUGAUUGUCUGUCUGUUUAACACUGUGCAGCUUCCACAUGUCUCCAGUUAGAUAAACAUCAAGCAUUUGAAAAAAACCCAACAUACCACGAUUCCCUUGGCUGGCUUUAAAAAGAGUUAUUUUUUUUAAGUGUUUGAUUUGUAUUCCUCAUGGCUUUUUGUGAUGUAGUUUGCUGUAAUAUGAUUUUUUUGUUGCAACCAUUAAGCACUGCUUUACCUCCCUUAAAAAAAGAACUGUAAUGUGCUAAGAUCUUUCUCUUGUGCAGCAGUAGUGCUCUACAUGAGCCUGGCGACUGGGAGAGGAGAUGGGCCAAACCCUCACCCUCACACUUGUGCUCCUGUUCCCAUCAGGAUGGUUCCCUCAUGCUGGAAUUGCAGCCAGCAACACAGGGUUAAUAAUGUGUACAGCCCACUUACAAAUUAAUUGGACUCUGUGUAGAGUUACUAAUUGUCAACAUCAGGAAGUAAUUCAGUUUGCUUUGAUUUCUCUGAGUUUUUCUUGGAGAUCGCUGGAUUCCAGUGACACACCAGGCUGUCAUUUUGGACGCUGUAGUUCUUGUUACCAAGAAGCCAGUAGGUUUUCAUUUUCCCUUUGCCCUGAAACAAGAAAAGGAGAGCAGAAAACAGCUAUUUUCAUGGGGGAUUAAGCAGAGCAUCGCUAUGGCCAAGGCUACUACCUGUACUGCAUUUAUUACCUCUCCUUCUCUUUUAAGUGGCUGCUCUUUGGAGAAAGAAUUGUAAUUUAUAUGCAUUUUGUGUGCUAAUAAUUCUUUCAGUUCAGAGAAAGGGCUUGCUGGUCACUAGCAGUGUUGCUGAGGGUUUAAAAUCAGCUUUAUACCCACAUGUCUUCAUAACUGAAUCCUAACACUUCCACCCACAUUUGUGUGGUUCUGGGCAGGUGCAGACAUAGCAGCUGCAUUUCAAAGCACAUAGUAACACUUCUUCAUCAAUUAGGAGGAGUAAUGUAUGACCAUUUCCAACUGAAUUAGGAAAAGAACCUUGGGGCCACAGUUAAAAAUUGACUUGCAAUUCACAGAAGAGCAGUGGCCAAAUCUUUCAUUUCUCUUUCCUACCUCAUUAAACACCUUUACUGUUGCAACGUUACAGAAAAGCUGUUACCUUGACUUCAAUUUCUCCUCUCGGUUCAAUUUCAUACGCAUCAUCUGUGAGAAGGGCGUCAUAUGUAGCAGAACUGAUAUGGAUCUUCUGCGCUAGGAUUCAGAACAGAGCAUUAGAAAUGAAUGAUUCCCCUGUUCCCAGAGACCACACACCAGCCCUCCUGCAUUUAUCAGCCCAGUGUUUCCUCCUCCUCUUUGGAAAAUGUCGGGUUGAGGAGGAUGCCCAAGGAAGGGGAAGAUGCCUUACGCAAGCUGGUGGACUCCAUGCGGGAGGCUGUGUUUACAGUGUCCCCAAAAAGGCAAUAACGAGGCAUUUUGUACCCCACAACUCCAGCUACACAGGGUCCUGAGAAAAUACAAGACAGAGAGACCCCGGUAAGAAACAAGUGGAAAAAGUGCAGGGAGAUGCCCAGUGCAGACACCUUUGCUGGUCUCUGGGUCCUCGGGGAGCAACAGGAAUGGGGCAUAUUCAGCACAUCCCAGAUCUGGCUGCACAUUGUUUACCUAAGGAGAUGUCUUGUUUUGAUUAGCUAAUUGAUGCUGAUAUCAGUGCAACAUGCACUUUGCCAAUACUAAAUUGUUUCACAGCCCUUUCUACACUGAUGCAAGCAAAAGUCUUUUCACCCCACUGUUACUGCUGGAAGCCGGAGAAAUAUUCAUCCUGGGGUGCUAUGAAGAGCCAGUGGCUCAUACAGAAAUGCAGAAUUCUUUUCUCCUCACACAGUUAUUGUGUCCUGUUCUCUUUGUCUCAUGCCUCCAGCUCAGCCCGCGUACCUGUGUGUAUCCCAGCCCGCAGCUGCAGUCUGCCCAUUGGCAUAUGGGGGAUCACGACCUGUCGAACUGCUGCCACCAGAUCCAGAGACAUUUUGGCAAUCUCGUCAGCGUGUUUGGUGCCGUUCCUCUCCGGCAGGCCGCUCACCACCAUGUAGGCAUCACCAAUGGUUUCCACCUGAUGGGAAGAGGCACGUGGCACUAAGUGGCAGGCACCAAGCUUUUCUUUCAAAAUGAGAGCAGAAUAAAAUAUAUCUCGGCUGUCCACCACUUGCCAA